rnacentral:rRNA from 1 species
UACGUAUGGUGCAAGCGUUAUCCGGAUUUACUGGGUGUAAAGGGAGCGCAGGCGGUACGGCAAGUCUGAUGUGAAAGCCCGGGGCUCAACCCCGGUACUGCAUUGGAAACUGUCGGACUAGAGUGUCGGAGGGGUAAGCGGAAUUCCUAGUGUAGCGGUGAAAUGCGUAGAUAUUAGGAGGAACACCAGUGGCGAAGGCGGCUUACUGGACGAUUACUGACGCUGAGGCUCGAAAGCGUGGGGAGCAAACAGG